CCGUUGACGUAUAGUGAUACAUUUCCCCUCAGAGUUCGACCUCUCCGUUGGUUUCGAUAAACGUCGAGUUUUUCCUAGUUAUCCGUUGAUAUCUAGUUGUAUCCUCCCCACAGGUCAUCCGUUGAUGUCUGUUCACCUCUCUGUUGGUUUCGAUAAACGUCGAGUUUUUCCCAAUCGUCCGUUGACGUUUGGUUGUCAUUAGUUUUC
rnacentral:lncRNA from 1 species